rnacentral:rRNA from 1 species
AAUCUUCCGCAAUGGACGAAAGUCUGACGGAGCAACGCCGCGUGAGUGAUGAAGGUCNNNGGAUCNUCAAACUCUGUUGUUAGNGACNAACAAGUAUCGUUCGAAUAGGGCGGUACCUUGACGGUACCUAACCAGAAAGCCACGGCUAACUACGAGCCAGCAGCCGCGGUAAUACGUAGGUGGCAAGCGUUAUCCGGAAUUAUUGGGCGUAAAGCGCGCGCAGGCGGUCUUUUAAGUCUGAUGUGAAAUCUUACAGCUUAACUGUAAGCGGUCAUUGGAAACUGGGAGACUUGAGUGCAGAAGAGGAGAGUGGAAUUCCAUGUGUAGCGGUGAAAUGCGUAGAGAUAUGGAGGAACACCAGUGGCGAAGGCGACUCUCUGGUCUGUAACUGACGCUGAGGCGCGAAAGCGUGGGGAUCAAACA